rnacentral:rRNA from 1 species
CGAGAAUCAUUCACAAUGGGGGAAACCCUGAUGGUGCGACGCCGCGUGGGGGAAUGAAGGUCUUCGGAUUGUAAACCCCUGUCAUGUGGGAGCAAAUUAAAAAGAUAGUACCACAAGAGGAAGAGACGGCUAACUCUGUGCCAGCAGCCGCGGUAAUACAGAGGUCUCAAGCGUUGUUCGGAAUCACUGGGCGUAAAGCGUGCGUAGGCUGUUUCGUAAGUCGUGUGUGAAAGGCGCGGGCUCAACCCGCGGACGGCACAUGAUACUGCGAGACUAGAGUAAUGGAGGGGGAACCGGAAUUCUCGGUGUAGCAGUGAAAUGCGUAGAUAUCGAGAGGAACACUCGUGGCGAAGGCGGGUUCCUGGACAUUAACUGACGCUGAGGCACGAAGGCCAGGGGAGCGAAAGGGAUUAGAUACCCCUGUAGUCCUGGCAGUAAACGGUGCACGCUUGGUGUGCGGGGAAUCGACCCCCUGCGUGCCGGAGCUAACGCGUUAAGCGUGCCGCCUGGGGAGUACGGUCGC